UUAAGUCUUGACGAGUAAGAGGGUCGCGGCGGUGAGCGCAGAAGGGUCAGGGCGAGAGCCUGCCUGGAGCCGCCGUCGGUGCAGAUCUUGGUGGUAGUAGCAAAUACUCUAGCGAGGGCCUGGAGGACUGACGUGGAGAAGGGUUUCUUGUGAACAGCCGUUGCACAAGAGUCAGUCGACCCUGAGCCCUAGGAGAAAUCCAAUGUCGAUGGGUAGCUUGACAAAAUGCGCACACACUUGUUGUUGCAAAAUUUAACAGCUCCUGUCGGGCAAAAGGGAAUCCGGUUCCUAUUCCGGAACCCGGCUGCGUAACCGCCACUUUGCGGGCACUUGCUUGCGAGCGCUCGUCGGGGUAACCCAAACUGGCCUGGAGACGCCGGCGGGGGGUCUGGAAAGAGUUUUCUUUUCUUUAUAAGCGUUCGAGUACCCUGGAAUCCUAUAGCAGGGAGAUAGGGUUUGGAACGCGAAGAGCACCGCAGUUGCGGCGGUGUCCGGACCUUCCCCCCGGACCUUGAAAAUCCAGGUGAGGGCCACGCGGAAGUCGCGCCGG
rnacentral:rRNA from 1 species